rnacentral:rRNA from 1 species
CUAGUGAUUAGAGUUUGAUCAUGGCUCAGGACGAACGCUGGCGGCGUGCCUAAUACAUGCAAGUCGAACGAGGUUUUAUCAGUUCGCGGUGGUGCUUGCACUACCAACUACAGAUAACACCGAGUGGCGGACGGGUGAGUAACACGUGGGUAACCUGCCCUUUAGCUGGGGAUAACAUUUGGAAACAGAUGCUAAUACCGAAUAACCACGGAGACCGCAUGGUCUCCGGGUAAAAGGCGGCGUAAGCUGUCACUAAAGGAUGGACCCGCGGCGUAUUAGCCAGUUGGUGAGGUAACGGCCCACCAAAGCAAUGAUACGUAGCCGACCUGAGAGGGUAAUCGGCCACAUUGGGACUGAGACACGGCCCAAACUCCUACGGAGGCAGCAGUAGGGAAUCUUCCACAAUGGACGCAAGUCUGAUGGAGCAACGCCGCGUGAGUGAAGAAGGCUUUCGGGUCGUAAAACUCUGUUAUUGAAGAAGAACGUGUGGGAUAGUAACUGAUCUCGCAGUGACGGUAUUCAAUCAGAAAGUCACGGCUAACUACGUGCCAGCAGCCGCGGUAAUACGUAGGUGGCAAGCGUUGUCCGGAUUUAUUGGGCGUAAAGCGAGUGCAGGCGGUCUUUUAAGUCUGAUGUGAAAGCCUUCGGCUUAACCGAAGAAGGGCAUCGGAAACUGGAAGACUUGAGUGCAGCAGAGGAGAGUGGAACUCCAUGUGUAGCGGUGAAAUGCGUAGAUAUAUGGAAGAACACCAGUGGCGAAGGCGGCUCUCUGGUCUGUAACUGACGCUGAGGCUCGAAAGCGUGGGUAGCAAACAGGAUUAGAUACCCUGGUAGUCCACGCCGUAAACGAUGAAUACUAAGUGUUGGAGGGUUUCCGCCCUUCAGUGCUGCAGCUAACGCAUUAAGUAUUCCGCCUGGGGAGUACGACCGCAAGGUUGAAACUCAAAGGAAUUGACGGGGGCCCGCACAAGCGGUGGAGCAUGUGGUUUAAUUCGAAGCAACGCGAAGAACCUUACUAGGUCUUGACAUCUUCUGCCAGGCUGAGAGAUCAGCUGUUCCCUUCGGGGACAGAAUGACAGGUGUGCAUGGUUGUCGUCAGCUCGUGUCGUGAGAUGUUGGGUUAAGUCCCGCAACGAGCGCAACCCUUAUGUUCAGUUGCCAGCAUUCAGUUGGGCACUCUGGACAGACUGCCGGUGACAAACCGGAGGAAGGCGGGGAUGACGUCAAAUCAUCAUGCCCCUUAUGACCUGGGCUACACACGUGCUACAAUGGGUGGUACAACGAGCAGCGAGACCGCGAGGUCAAGCGAAUCUCUAAAAACCAUCCUCAGUUCGGAUUGCAGGCUGCAACUCGCCUGCAUGAAGCUGGAAUCGCUAGUAAUCGCGGAUCAGCACGCCGCGGUGAAUACGUUCCCGGGCCUUGUACACACCGCCCGUCACACCAUGAGAGUUUGUAACACCCAAAGCCGGUGGGACAACCGUAAGGAGUCAGCCGUCUAAGGUGGGACAAAUGAUUAGGGUGAAGUCGUAACAAGGUAACCCU